GUAUGAAAGUAGAUAAAACUUAAACACAGAUGCUAAGACACUUGGCUGUAGGAACUCUGCUUGUCCAGUGACAUUCUCCCACCAGACGCAGGGAGAGAGUGUAGGAGAGUACUAAGGAGCCCAGGGAAAGACAAACUGGCCACAGAGAAAGGACCCUGCAGAAGGCCUCAGAACCUUCUCCAGUGUCAGCCCAUCACUCCAUACCCAGUGGGGUUCAGUAGCUGCCCGUUCACUCCCACUAUCCCUGUUGUGACGUCCCAGCCACAGCCUGGCCCACGCCGUCCAAUCAGGCAAUGUCUCCACUGCAGGAGACCUGAAUCCAGCACGGGCAGGCACCAGGGCUCCCAAGGCCAUCCCGGGUGCCCCGCCGAGCGGCCAUUCCUCACUGCUAUCUCUACCGUCUCUGCUCACUUCUUUGCCUCCUUCCCCGCUUUCCAUGGGGAUCUGUGUAUGUCUGUGUUGAAUGUAUGUGUGUAUGUAAUCCGAGUCUGGCCACGUCUUUCAGCUCCCGAGACCAGUGCUUCUCAAAGGUCAGCACACAUAAGAAUCCCCUGGUCGCUUCAUGGGCUCCUUUUCCAGAAAUUCUGAUACUGCAGGUGGGGCAUGUGUGUCAGAAUCGGCACUUCUAACAAGUUCAUUGGUGCUGAUGUUGCUGGCAUGCGGACCGCACCUUGAGUAGAACUGCCAUCAAGCGUCCACCAGCCAUGCUGAGUAUGCCACCACCUUUCCAUCCCAGAGGCUGCUGCCCAGGCCCCGGCCUCAUCAAAGCAGUGCUAGCUAGACCACCAAGCCUUCCUCUCUCUCAGUAAAACCACAAAAGGCAAGACGAAGUGAACAUGCCAGGAGGCUACCUCUGUCUGAGAUGGCACGAGCAGGAUAUGCCCGGCGGGAACGUGAACUACACCGGGAAAUCAGCCUCUACAGCACAAGA